AACCCGCACCACCCCCGAAAUCCAAAUGAAAACCACCCUCCCCGUCGGCCUCCAACCAACACCGUCACCACUCCUCCCAUUACCGCUUCUGAUUUGAUCGACCUUCUUACCGCUUCCAUUCCAAUACCAGCGAUCAGAGUCGGCCAGAUUCUCUACAGCACAGCAGCGGCAACGCUCUCGUUCCACCAUGCGGCUCUACGUGUGCGUGCUGGAGGCGCGGGACCUCCCGGCGCCGACAGACGGGCACGGCGGCGGGCUCUACGCGAGGGUGAAGGUGGGGAGGCAGAGGGCGCGGACGCGGGCGGUGGCGCUUUCGGGCCCGGGCGGCGCGGCGGCGUGGAACGAGGAGUUCGCGUUCGCGGUGGGGGAGGCGGGGGACGAGGUGCAGGUGGUGGAGGUCGGCGUUGCGCGGCGCCGGGAGGAGGCAGGGGCCGGGAGGGAGGUGCUGGGCAGGGUCAAGCUGCCGCUGCCGCCCGCGCAGGCCGCCUCCGCCGCCAGCGGGAGGCACUCGGUGCCGCCGACGUGGUUCACGCUGCACCCCAAGCACCGCCGGAAGGGCCGCGCCGCCGACGCCGACGCCGCGGAUUGCGGGAAGAUCCUUCUCACAUUCUCACUCUACGGAGAGAACAGUGACAAUUCUGUCAUCCACUCAUCUCCCUGUCCGAGCUCCAGGAGUGGCACGGAUGUUGAAAUCGAGAGAGCAAAUUGCAGGGAACAUUCAGGUGCCAACGGCGUGAUACUUGAUUCCCCAAGGAGUUCUGCAGUGGAACAAACUUCUGUAGAUAAUUCUGACCGUUCGGUACUAUCAGAUUCUGAUACAGUUUCUGAACAAGAGGAUGGUCUGGUAGAGACUCGUGCAGCAGCAGCAGCAGCAACAAAGAGUGCAUAUGAUAGUGACGCUGAGCCGUCUGUCUCAGAUGCAAGCUUUGAAGAAGCCAUGGAGAACAUGAAGUCAGCGAGUAGUACACCAGACAUGCCGGAUGAUCUCGGCGGCGGCGUAAUCUUUGACCACACUUACCUCGUGGAGGCGAAAGAUUUGAACCGUCUUCUCUUUGGACCUGAUUCCCAAUUUUCCAAGGACCUGCGUGAGCUGCAGGGCACCACGGACUACGACGAACAGCCAUGGACAUGGAAGAGCCAGGACCCUCCUAGCUUAACCAGGACAUGCCGGUACACCAAAGGGGCAACAAAACUCAUGAAAGAUGUCAAAACCAUCGAGGAACAGACCUAUCUCAAAGCUGACGGCGACAGUUUUGCCGUCAUGACUAGGGUUCGUACUCCUGAAGUUCCAUUUGGGAACUGCUUUGAGGUUGUUUUGCUCUACAAAAUAACCCAUUCCCCUGAGUUGUCACCAGGUGAAGAGAGCUCACGUCUGACUGUAUCGUACAACGUGGAGUUCCUCCAGAGUACAUUGAUGAAAAGCAUGAUCGAGGGAAGUGUUCGGGAUGGACUCAAAGAGAACUUCGAAAGCUUUGCAGAAAUUUUGUCUCGGCAUGUGAAGUUGGCUGAUGCUGCAGGGAUGGAUAAAGAGCAGCUGUUGGCACCACUGCAGACAGAUAGACAGUCACAUAUCAGACUUGCUUACAAGUAUUUUUGCAAUUUUACCGUGAUCUCGACGGUAAUUAUGGCGGCGUAUGUUCUUGUGCACAUCCUUCUUUCUAGGCCAGGCCCACUUAUGGGCCUCGAGUUCAGUGGUCUAGAUUUACCUGACACAUUUGGGGAGCUGAUCACAUCAGGCAUACUAGUUCUUCAGAUGGAGCGUUUUCUGAAUAUGGUAUAUCAUUUUGUCCAAGCAAGAAUACAACGAGGAGGUGAUCACGGGGUUAAGGCAAAUGGUGACGGUUGGCUAUUAACUGUAGCUCUGCUAGAGGCCACAAGCUUGCCGCCUGUUUCUUGUGGGUCAGUAGACCCUUACGUCGUGUUCAGCUGUAAUGGUGUAACGAGGACAAGCUCUGUCCAACUUCAGACUCAGGAACCUCAAUGGAAUGAGGUAAUGGAGUUUGAUGCCAUGGAAGAGCCACCUGCUAUGUUGGAUGUUGAGGUCUUCAAUUUUGAUGGGCCAUUCGACUUGGCUAUAUCACUGGGACAUGCAGAAAUUAACUUUCUUAAACGCACACCAACAGAACUAGCAGAUAUAUGGGUACCACUGGAGGGAAAACUAGCUCAGACAUGCCAGAGUAGGCUACAUUUGAGAAUAUUUCUGGAGAAUACUAAAGGACCCGAGACAUCAAUGAGAGAUUAUCUUAAUAAGAUGGAGAAGGAAGUCGGUAAGAAGUUACAUGUUCGGUCACCGCACAGAAAUUCAACAUUCCAGAAGCUUUUUAGUUUGCCUCACGAAGAGUUUCUUAUAGCAGACUAUGCAUGCUCCUUAAAGAGGAAAUUGCCGCUGCAGGGAAGGCUAUUUCUGUCAACCAGAAUAGUUGGUUUCUAUGCUAAUCUGUUUGGCCAUAAAACGAAAUUCUUCUUUCUGUGGGACGACGUCGAGGAAGUCGAAGUGUUACCUCCAUCUUUCACAACAGUAGGCACCCCAUCAUUGGUGUUCAUGUUAAAGAGUGGGCGUGGGCUUGACGCCAAGAACGGCGCGAAGUCGCAAGACAAGGAAGGGAGGCUGAAAUUCCAGUUCCAUUCAUUUGCGUCGUUCAACAAGGCUAGUAGGACAAUCAUUGGUCUGUGGAAAACAAAGUCCUCAGCUAUUGAACAGAGGGCCAAGAUGGAAGAAGAUCAAGAAGACGAGAGCUAUGACGAUCUUGACGACGUUCAGUCUGUGUUGAGCACUGGAGACGUUACCCUCUCAAAGGAGUAUGCAGUGGAACAUCCUAUUGAUGCAGAUCUGCUGAUGGGGGUGUUCGACGGUGGGCCCCUGGAGACCCGGACGAUGAGCAGGGUGGGGUGCCUGGACUACACGGCGACCCCGUGGGAGGAGACCAAGCCGGGGGUUCUGGAGCGGCACGCCAGCUACAAGUUCAACCGCUACAUGUCCAUCUUCGGCGGCGAGGUGGUGAGCACCCAGCUGAAGUCGCCGUCGGAGGACGGCGACGGGUGGACGGUGUACGACGUGAUGACGCUGCGCAACGUCCCCUUCGGCGACUACUUCCGGGUGCAUCUGAGGUACGACGUCCGGAGGGUGGCGUCGUCGGAGCCGGCGGCGCCGUCGCCACCGAGCUGCCGGUGCGAGGUGCUGGUGGGCAUCGAGUGGCUCAAGAGCAGCAAGUUCCAGAAGCGGAUCGCGAGGAACAUCUGCGACAAGCUGGCCCACAGGGCCAAGGAGGUCCUCGAGGUGGCCGGCAAGGAGAUAGCCUCGGCGAUGUCGGGCUCGGCUCAGGCUGGCUGACUGGGCUGGAGGAUCGGGCGUUUUUGUUCACCGUCUUCCGGCAAAGCUGGCGUGAGGCGGAGAUGUUUCCUCCUUGUCAGCUUGUCAUUUGCCUUUGGUUUCGUAGCUGAUGCAGACGUGACACGAGGACUAACACCCAAGAAGUGGUAAGGAUGGCCAUCUGGUUCUGGUGCAGCGUUGCGCUUUGCGGUGGGACUGGGAAAAAGGCUUGGCGGUGUCGUGCGUCGGCAUCUCAUCUCAUGGCCGUCUGCGCUCGUUUUGGAUUGAUCGGGUGACCGGCGCCUUGUGGAACGUGGGCAGCACACUUGAGCUUGCGCCUGCUGUCGUUCGGCGGCGCCGCGCGUGCCCUCGCGUGGUACCUACCGGUGGGAGGCGGGGGAGGUCGGUUUUUCUUUUAUAAAAAAAUGCCCGUGCGUCGCAACAGGAGAAAUGAAAAGAGAUGUCCUUAAUAACUCAAGACUCCUUUCUAGUUCGGCUCACAUUUCUACAACCUAAGACAUGUUCCGACUCAUAUUUUGUCGACCCACGGGAAAAUAUGGUUGAUCGGGUUCAGAAUGCAUGGUUCGCACAUGUGGCUCACUAUGAAUA